rnacentral:tRNA from 1 species
UGGCUCAGAUGGUAAAGCAUCUGCCUGCAGUGCAGGAGACCCAGGUUCGAUCCCUGG